rnacentral:rRNA from 1 species
AUUGAACGCUGGCGGCAUGCCUAACACAUGCACGUCGAGCGGAGCGGCGGACGGGAGAGUAAUGCCUAGGAAUCUGCCUGGUAGUGGGGGAUCACGUCCGGAAACGGGAGCUAAUAACUCAUACUCUGCGAUGAGCAUAGGUCGGAUUGGCUAGUUGGUGGGGUAAAGUCCUACAAAGGCGACGAUACGUAACGGGUAUGAGAGGAUGAUCAGUCAAACUGGAAUGAGGACACGGUCCAGACUCCUACGGUAGUCAGCAGUGGGGAAUAUUGGACAAGGGGCGAAAGCCGGAUCCAGCCAGGCCGCUUGUGUGUGGAAGGUCUUCGGAUUUUAAAGCACUUUAAGUUGGGAGGCGUUACCAACAGAAUAAGCACCGGCUAACUUCGUGCCAGCAGCCGCGGUAAUAC